AACCUGCCCAAGAGAUCGGGAUAACACCUGGAAACAGAUGCUAAUACCGGAUAACAACAGAUGAUGCCUAUCAACUGUUUAAAAGAUGGUUCUGCUAUCACUCUUGGAUGGACCUGCGGCGCAUUAGCUAGUUGGUAGGGUAACGGCCUACCAAGGCGAUGAUGCAUAGCCGAGUUGAGAGACUGAUCGGCCACAUUGGGACUGAGACACGGCCCAAACUCCUACGGGAGGCAGCAGCC
rnacentral:rRNA from 1 species